rnacentral:lncRNA from 1 species
CCCUCAGCUUCCUUGAUCCACGCUUCGUUCCUCCUGUCCCCUACCAAAAUUCUGAUUUAUCCAGCAGGGGGAUUUUCAGCUUGGGGUUGUGGACCUCCCAAUGGGUCUAUUGGCAGGCUUCAGAGGGUCUGUGAACUUGGAUGGAAAAAAAUAUCCUUAUUUUCAUGAACUUUUCACUGAAAUUUAGUCCCUUUAUUUGUUAGGAAGAGAACCUGAAGUCUGAAUGCUUGACUACCACAAGUUUUAUAUUUGCUUUGGAUCCCAGAUCAGUAAUUGGCAAAGGACCCUGGAAGUCAUCCGGUCUAAUUCCCUCAUUUUAUGGAUGAGGGAAAUGAUUUGCUCAAGGUCACCAAGAUAGGAAGCAUCCGAGAUGGGAUUUGAACUCUGGUCUUUUGACUCUAGAACAACAUUUUAGAGAUCUUGUGAGGAAAAGCCAAGACAAGCAAUUCAUUGAUUGCAAGUGCCAUGAAAAACAGCAGAGGAGGAAACGGGAGUGUAUUUCUUGGAAGUUUUCGCCUCCAAGAGGAAGCCUCACCUUUUCUCGAUUCACUUAAAGUGUUAGGUGAGAUCACCGGGCUGAACUCAUUCAGUUUCAUAAACCAGAGCAUCAACAAACAAAUUUUUUCUCCUACACGACCGUGGGCUUGUGGGUACCCGGCAUUCCUGGACCUCAGAGUCAUUGAAGUCCCAUAGCAAGACAAAAGUCAAGAUGACUGAAGAUGAUGGCCUGGGAUACAAUGAAUGACUUUGUUAUCUUUGAUGUUUGCCCAAGCUCUAAGGGCUCUACAGCACCUUCUUCAGCAACCUUCAUGGCCUUCGGAACAAAUAAUUCUCACCUGCCCUUUUCACAAUUUUUUCCCCGGUCUUGACUGAUCUUUAUUGAGCACUGUAGAUGUGUAUAUAUGAUGAAGAGAAGAAUAGAGAAGUAUGAUGCAUACAAAUAUAAAAUGUACUGGGGCCAUGUCGGUUUGAGAAUAGCCUGGUCUGUGGCACACAUGGAGCUCUUGGGGGAACCCCACACAGCAAGUGCAAAUGUCCCCAUCUGGACAGGUGCUUUCUUUCUCUUUCUGUUGAGAGGAGAAACAAGAGGAACAGAAAAAGACAUGGUGCAGAAGGAAUAUUGUUGAUAUGGUCCAUUAGUUCUUAGGGGCUGAUCCUGGGUCCUUGGUGGCAGGACCUGUAUCUUAUAGUAAGAUACUAAUUGCUAGGGUACCUUGGCAUUCGCAAGGACUGCUGGGGCAAUUGUAAAUCUUGAAAUCUCUCAGACUUGUAAAUGUUAAAAAUUUCCCCAUUGGGGAAUUCUUAAUUGGAACAAAUUCCCUACUGAGAAACAUUCCCCAUUUUGAUGUGAGAACUCGCCAGGAUCAGAAAUGGGAGGACCUCUACUCCAACUAUACUUAAGACUGCUUUAGGGGAGAAAACUCCUUGCUAUGGGAGGACCCCUACUCUACCCGUACUUAAGACUGCUUUAGGAGAGAAAACUCCUUGCUAAACAAUGAAAGUACUUGGACCCAUGCUUAUAUAAGGCAAGGAAUUCUUUGAGCCAGGCCUGUUUUUAGAAUUGAUACAAUGGGAUGCUAGGUACCUAAAAGGGUCGGGCAAGUUUUCUCUUGAUGAGAUUAGUUGACUCAGCUGUGUUUUCUCUAGUUCAGACUUACUGAGGAGAUUGGUCAACACAGCAGCAUUUUUUCUGAUUCAGACUUACUGAGGAGAUUGGUCGACUUAGCAGGAAUUUAGAUGGGCAGUCCUUUGGAAAGCGUCUACAGUGAUUGGUAGAUGUAGGGACUUAUGGGAGGUGACAUGGAAGAAAAACCCCUAUAUAAGAAAAAGCAGAAUCUCUUGAGAAUAUAUCCUUUUGGAGAAAUCCUUUUGGAGAAUCUCUGAUGAGGAUCGCUUGGGAAGAAUCUCUCGAGAGAGGCUCUGGAGAAGGGAAGCUCUUGGAGGACAAUCUCUAAGGAGGUCUCGCUGGAGCUCUCUUUGGUGAAGUCAGCUGAGAUGGAGCUGGCCUGGUGUCACUAGAAUCCUUAUUUAGGCAGACCUUGUGGUGAGUGUUAAAAGACUGACUGACUGAUUCUCUCUCUUAAGACUCAGGUCUAGGCCAUAUUGGCUUGAGGCCCUUCAUAAUUAUUCCUUUCCUACUCUUUCUCUCUUUCUCUAAUUCCUCAUUAUAUUGUUAAUUAAAAAUCUCUAUAAAACCCAGUUGACUUGGGUAUUUGAAUAAUUGGGAAUAUUUCCCUGGCGACCACCUUAUAUUUGAUUUAAAACCAAGACACUGUAGUGAAACAUAUUUUCUGCGGUCAAAUUUACUCACCCUCUCUUAUAUCUAUCACAAUUUAUAUCUUCCACUAUUUUAAUCACUACAGUUUAAGACCUCAACCAUUUUAAAUCUCACACAAUGGCUCCUGAUUCUGAAACUUGGUGGAGAGGCACAAUUUGGACAAUGCUCAUACUCAUCCAACUCUUCCAUGGCUAUGAAUUUAGCACCCCCAACAUGUGGCAAGCAUGAGGUCAGGAACACAAUCUCUUUUAUAUCCUUCAGAUGCUUGAGGUAGGCAUUCCCUCUUGUGCUACAAUGGAUUUGAGCUACCCCAACUUGUGUUAGCUCAUUUGCUAAUAUGGCUUUACCAGAGUAUGACCACUGCAUGUGCUACAAUUUCUUGGAACCAUAGAUAAGAGUUUACCUAAUACAUACAUUCAUGGUUAUUAUUAGGAAGAGAAUUGAAAGUAAGGCAAGAAGCAUCGUCUUGACUGUGUUCAAAUUUCAUGAUUUGGAAUAACUGAAUAAGUUCUCUGUAGUUGCUACAUUUAAUCCUGAUCACCUCACCUAAGGAGUUAAUAAAAUAAAAAAUAAAAUAUAUGGAAUGCUUUUU